rnacentral:rRNA from 1 species
UACAGAGGGUGCGAGCGUUGUCCGGAAUCACUGGGCGUAAAGGGCGCGUAGGUGGUGACCUAAGCGUGCGGUGAAAGCCCGAGGCUCAACCUCGGGUCGGCCGUGCGAACUGGGUCACUGGAGCAGAAUAGAGGCAGGUGGAAUUCCGGGUGUAGCGGUGGAAUGCGUAGAGAUCCGGAAGAGCACCGGUGGCGAAGGCGGCCUGCUGGGUUCUGGCUGACACUGAGGCGCGACAGCGUGGGGAGCAAACAGG